rnacentral:rRNA from 1 species
AGCGAACGCUGGCGGCAGGCCUAACACAUGCAAGUCGAGCGCCCCGCAAGGGGAGCGGCAGACGGGAGAGUAACACGUGGGAACGUACCCUUUGGUUCGGAACAACCCAGGGAAACUUGGGCUAAUACCGGAUGAGCCCUUACGGGGAAAGAUUCAUCGCCGAAGGAUCGGCCCGCGUCUGAUUAGCUAGUUGGUGGGGUAACGGCCCACCAAGGCGACGAUCAGUAGCUGGUCUGAGAGGAUGAUCAGCCUCACUGGGACUGAGACACGGCCCAGACUCCUACGGGAGGCAGCAGUGGGGAAUAUUGGACAAUGGGCGCAAGCCUGAUCCAGCCAUGCCGCGUGGGUGAUGAAGGCCCUAGGGUUGUAAAGCCCUUUCGGCGGGGAAGAUAAUGACGGUACCCGCAGAAGAAGCCCCGGCUAACUACGUGCCAGCCGCCGCGGUAACAC